rnacentral:rRNA from 1 species
UACGAAGGGGGCUAGCGUUGUUCGGAAUCACUGGGCGUAAAGCGCACGUAGGCGGAUCUUUAAGUCAGGGGUGAAACUCCGAGGCUCAACCUCGGAACUGCCUUUGAUACUGGGGAUCUCGAGUCCGGGAGAGGUGAGUGGAACUGCGAGUGUAGAGGUGAAAUUCGUAGAUAUUCGCAAGAACACCAGUGGCGAAGGCGGCUCACUGGCCCGGAACUGACGCUGAGGUGCGAAAGCGUGGGGAGCAAACAGG